rnacentral:tRNA from 1 species
CAAGCUUUAUAAGCAAACAAUUAAGGCAAUAUCGAGGUAAUACUCACAGUAUGCACAUAUGCCAAUUAGAGACUGACCAGUUGCAGUCCUAAAAACAUCAAUGUGAAGAUUCAACCAAACAAUACCAUGUGGAUUCAAAUCAUAAUCAAUGUUUAGAGAAACUAGGUGACAUGAUUAUUAACGAGUUACAAUGAUAUAUACAUUAAAAUUCUGUCUUUUAAUAGAUUCUCAGUUUUAAUGCUACUUUAUAUAUCCUGUAUGUCCUAUAUUCAAAUCAUCCUGUCUAUAUCAAAUAUUUUCUAAUGAUAAUAAUACACUACUACUAGUGAUUAUGCUGCGCUUUUGACGCUUGUGAAAUCUGUAUUCAUUAUUCCAUCUCACCGGUAUUACUUCACUUACUUACGCCUGUUACCCCUCGUGGAGGAGU